AUGCUCGUCGGCGCUCUCCUCCUCCUCGUCCUCUCCUCGGCCACCGAAAUCCACGGCGGGCCAAGCUCCAGAGCCGCGCCAUGUUCCACGCUGGCCCAGCUCUGCACCAGCCUCGGACCUUGGUACGUAGCGCCGAACGUCUGCGUGUCCACACUCUGCGUCGACCCCUCCUGCCGCUCUGCGCCUGACUUGCCGGAGCUCGCAGUGAUCGCCACCAGGCUAACGGUGUACAACGCCACGGUGGCCAAGGCCAGCAUCGAGCAUGCGCUCGCCCACGCCAAGGAUGGCAAGGCUAGGAAGGUCAUGCAGUCGUGCCUCCAGCUCUACACAGGCGCCGUCCCAAAGUUGCAGUGGGCGGCGCGGUCGGUUGCUGCUGGGCGAUAUAGCGGUGUACCGGAGGUGCUAGAGGAUGCAUCUAAACAUGUCUCAUCUGAGUGCACCGAUUUGGCCGGCAAGGUGGCACUUCCCAAGGAGAACGGCGAGUUCUUCAUGAUGGGCUACGUCGCGAAGGCCGUCGUCGAAUGGGUGCAGCUUUUCGGCUGA
rnacentral:rRNA from 1 species